UGGGGAAUUUUGGACAAUGGGCGAAAGCCUGAUCCAGCAAUGCCGCGUGUGUGAAGAAGGCCUUCGGGUUGUAAAGCAUUUUUGUCCGGAAAGAAAUCCUUGGCUCUAAUACAGUCGGGGGAUGACGGUACCGGAAGAAUAAGCACCGGCUAACUACGUGCCAGCAGCCGCGGUAAUACGUAGGGUGCAAGCGUUAAUCGGAAUUACUGGGCGUAAAGCGUGCGCAGGCGGUUUGCUAAGACCGAUGUGAAAUCCCCGGGCCCAACCUGGGAACUGCAUUGGUGACUGGCAGGCUAGAGUAUGGCAGAGGGGGGUAGAAUUCCACGUGUAGCAGUGAAAUGCGUAGAGAUGUGGAGGAAUACCGAUGGCGAAGGCAGCCCCCUGGGCCAAUACUGACGCUCAUGCACGAAAGCGUGGGGAGCAAACAGGAUUAGAUACCCU
rnacentral:rRNA from 1 species